rnacentral:rRNA from 1 species
UACGGAGGGAGCUAGCGUUGUUCGGAAAUACUGGGCGUAAAGCGCACGUAGGCGGCGCAGCAAGUCAGGGGUGAAAUCCCGGGGCUCAACCCCGGAACUGCCCUUGAAACUGCAGUGCUAGAAUUCUGGAGAGGCGAGUGGAAUUCCGAGUGUAGAGGUGAAAUUCGUAGAUAUUCGGAAGAACACCAGUGGCGAAGGCGACUUCACUGGACGAUAUUGACGCUGAGGUGCGAAAGCGUGGGGAGCAAACAGG